rnacentral:rRNA from 1 species
UACGGAGGGAGCUAGCGUUGUUCGGAAUCACUGGGCAUAAAGGGCGCGUAGGCGGCUUUUCAAGUCAGGGGUGAAAUCCGGCAGCUCAACUGUCGAAGUGCCCUUGAUACUGAUGAGCUCGAGGGAGGUAGGGGUGUGUGGAACUUCCGGUGGAGCGGUGAAAUGCGUUGAUAUCGGAAGGAACGCCGGUGGCGAAAGCGACGCACUGGACCUCUUCUGACGCUGAGGCGCGAAAGCUAGGGGAGCAAACGGG